GUCCUUGUGGUGUAGUUGGUUAUCACAUCUGUUUAACACACAGAAGGGUCUCCAGUUUAAUCUGAACAAACACA